CCAAAAUCCUCUCUCUUCUCCGGCGAAUGAAUGAUCGGAGCUCCGGCGAUCUCGCAGCAAGUGCAGGCCAAAGAGAAAUCCAAAACCUGUCGAUUAUUACAGACCGGAUCGAGGAGUUCCGGAAGAAGAGGACCCUGUGCAUCCCGGAGGGCAAAGGAAUUAAGCUGAGGGACAUCAAGAAGGCGUCUUAAAAUUUGGAAAAGAGGAAGACUGAUGCUGAUCUUCAAGACUUUUUAAAAAUGUAAUCAACUCUUGUGAGAUCUAUUUCAUGGGAUAAAGGCCAAGGACAAAGAUCUGAAGAGAAAAAUAUUAGAUUUCUCUGGGUUUUUGUUGGGUCUUCAAGAGAAGAAAGAGAUCUCACAAAAGUUGAUUGCAUUUUUAAAACGUCCUCAUGUUUUUAGGAACGCUCAACUUGAUGAAGAAGAGAAGCCCAAGAGAAGAAAAGCGGUUGAUCAGCCAUCAUCUGGUGAAACAUCUUCAAAAGGAGAUGAGGU